UACGAAGGGGGCUAGCGUUGUUCGGAAUACUGGGCGUAAAGCGCACGUAGGCGGAUCCUUAAGUCAGGGGUGAAAUCCCGAGGCUCAACCUCGGAACUGCCUUUGAUACUGGGGAUAUCGAGUCGGGAGAGGUGAGUGGAACUGCGAGUGUAGAGGUGAAAUUCGUAGAUAUUCGCAAGAACACCAGUGGCGAAGGCGGCUCACUGGCCCG
rnacentral:rRNA from 1 species